UACAGAGGGUGCAAACGUUGCUCGGAAUUAUUGGGCGUAAAGCGCACGUAGGCGGCUUGUUAAGUCGGAUGUGAAAGCCCUGGGCUCAACCCAGGAAGUGCAUUCGAUACUGGCAGCUUGAGUAUGGAAGAGGGUCGCGGAAUUCCCGGUGUAGAGGUGAAAUUCGUAGAUAUCGGGAGGAACACCAGUGGCGAAGGCGGCGACCUGGGCCAAUACUGACGCUGAGGUGCGAAAGCGUGGGGAGCAAACAGG
rnacentral:rRNA from 1 species